rnacentral:rRNA from 1 species
UACGUAGGGGGCAAGCGUUGUCCGGAUUUAUUGGGCGUAAAGAGCGUGUAGGCGGUCAGGUAGGUCCGUUGUGAAAACUCGAGGCUCAACCUCGAGACGCCGAUGGAAACCAUCUGACUAGAGUCCGGAAGAGGAGAGUGGAAUUCCUGGUGUAGCGGUGAAAUGCGCAGAUAUCAGGAGGAACACCUGUGGCGAAAGCGGCUCACUGGACCAUUACUGACGCUGAGGCACGAAAGCUAGGGGAGCAAACAGG